GUCUGUGUGUGUGUGUGUGUGUGUGUGUGUGUGUGUGUGUGCGUGCGUGCACGCGCCUGCACUCUGCCA
rnacentral:pre_miRNA from 1 species